AUUGAACGCUGGCGGCAUGCCUAACACAUGCAAGUCGCACGCGAAAGAGGGGCAACCCUUGAGUAGAGUGGCGGACGGGUGAGUAACGCGUAGGAAUAUACCUGGUAGUGGGGGACAACCCGGUGAAAACCGGGCUAAUACCGCAUACGAUCCACGGAUGAAAGCAGGGGACCGCAAGGCCUUGCGCUAUCAGAUUAGCCUGCGUCGGAUUAGCUAGUUGGUGAGGGAAUGGCUCACCAAGGCAACGAUCCGUAGCUGGUUUGAGAGAACGACCAGCCACACUGGGACUGAGACACGGCCCAGACUCCUACGGGAGGCAGCAGUGGGGAAUAUUGGACAAUGGGGGCAACCCUGAUCCAGCAAUGCCGCGUGUGUGAAGAAGGCCUUCGGGUUGUAAAGCACUUUCGGUGGGGACAAACGUGGCGAGGCUAACAUCCUCGUCCUUGAUGGUACCCAAAGAAGAAGCACCGGCUAACUCUGUGCCAGCCGCCGCGGUAA
rnacentral:rRNA from 1 species